rnacentral:rRNA from 1 species
AGAGUUUGAUCCUGGCUCAGGAUGAACGCUGGCGGCAUGCCUAAUACAUGCAAGUCGAACGAGAGGAAGGAAAGCUUGCUUUCCUAAAUCUAGUGGCGAACGGGUGAGUAACACGUAGGUAACCUGCCCAUGUGCCCGGGAUAACUUCUGGAAACGGAUGCUAAAACCGGAUAGGUAGCAGACAAGCAUUUGACUGCUAUUAAAGUGGCUAAGGCCAUGAACAUGGAUGGACCUGCGGUGCAUUAGCUAGUUGGUGAGGUAACGGCCCACCAAGGCGACGAUGCAUAGCCGGCCUGAGAGGGCGGACGGCCACAUUGGGACUGAGACACGGCCCAAACUCCUACGGGAGGCAGCAGUAGGGAAUUUUCGUCAAUGGGGGGAACCCUGAACGAGCAAUGCCGCGUGAGUGAGGAAGGUCUUCGGAUCGUAAAGCUCUGUUGUAAGAGAAAAACGGCACUCAUAGGGAAUGAUGAGUGAGUGAUGGUAUCUUACCAGAAAGUCACGGCUAACUACGUGCCAGCAGCCGCGGUAAUACGUAGGUGGCGAGCGUUAUCCGGAAUGAUUGGGCGUAAAGGGUGCGUAGGUGGCAGAUCAAGUCUGGAGUAAAAGGUAUGGGCUCAACCCGUACUUGCUCUGGAAACUGAUCAGCUAGAGAACAGAAGAGGACGGCGGAACUCCAUGUGUAGCGGUAAAAUGCGUAGAUAUAUGGAAGAACACCGGUGGCGAAGGCGGCCGUCUGGUCUGGAUUCUGACACUGAAGGACGAAAGCGUGGGGAGCAAAUAGGAUUAGAUACCCUAGUAGUCCACGCCGUAAACGAUGAGAACUAGGUGUUGGGGGAAUAACUCAGUGCCGCAGUUAACGCAAUAAGUUCUCCGCCUGGGGAGUAUGCACGCAAGUGUGAAACUCAAAGGAAUUGACGGGGGCCCGCACAAGCGGUGGAG